CCAGGUUAUAACCAGGUAAUGUCUCAGGUUAUAUUAUAACCUGAGACAUUACCUGGUUAUUACCAAG